rnacentral:rRNA from 1 species
CGGUCCAGACUCCUACGGGAGGCAGCAGUAGGGAAUCUUCCGCAAUGGGCGAAAGCCUGACGGAGCAAUGCCGCGUGAGUGAAGAAGGCCUUCGGGUCGUAUUUUCUACUGUUAUAAGAGAAGAACAAAUUGUAGAGUAACUGCUAUAGUCUUGACGGUAUCUUAUCAGAAAGCCACGGCUAACUACGUGCCAGCAGCCGCGGUAA